rnacentral:piRNA from 1 species
UAGGUUGAAGAUCUUAUUAAUCGUCAAUUU